ACUUUCUUCCUAAUCUAAUUUAUUCUAGAACAGUGAAGUCACAGUGGCGGUAAUUCCUGCCAACAUAUCGACAUAGUUGAUAGAGUACAUGCGCUUGGAGAUUCAUGUCAUUUCCCUGCUUCUUAUCGAUGAGUCCUACUUAUUAUCUUUUUUUCUUCUUUCUGGCCAUGCUUUCAGAAUAGCCUGAGAGAAAAGAAAGACUUUGGAGGUAUGUUCUCUUUUAUAUAAUGUUUUUGACUAUUAAUCUUCAUGAGCCUCUUUGCAGUUUGGACUUAUCCUCUCUUAGCUUAUGUACUUUUAGCAUUUGAUAUGCUUUCAACAUAGUCUUGAUAGUUGCUUUUUCCUGUAUAGAAGAUAGAAAGAAUAAACAAAUUAAGGAGAACAAUGAACAGGACAAUUCCAUUCAAAGAGAAUUAAAAGUAUUUUCUAUAGGUGAGGACAACAUAAUAUUGGCCUUUCCUCCAGCAGUAAUAUUGAGCAUUGGAACUCCAAAGCUCUAAUUCUAGUUAUUGGUAUUCCAUGAGUCCAUAUUAAAGGGUUAGUAAAUUGGGUCUGCAAGUAGCGGAGCAUUUUUUAUUCUGCAUGAACAGAUUACGAAUUUUAUAAUUGCAAUUUGAAAGGAAUAAAUUAUUCUGGCUGAAUGAAAAUUGAUACAAAAGCGUUAGUAGACCCUUUGUGAAAUCAACAAACUACAACAUACUCAAUAGAAAUCAUGUGUGGUUUACAUUGGGAUUGAACUGUAGGAUUAUCUAUUAGACUUUGUUCCUCGGAGCUAAGCAACAUUUCCUGUUAUGUAUAUAAUAGACAACUGUUAAUUUUUGCUACAUAGUGCAACACCUAAAGUAGAUAUGUAGUUAUUAUUUUGUGGCGAUGCAAUGACUAUAUUUUCUAAAUACCAAAGAUUAUUUAUAAUAAUACCAUUUUCAGUUCACAAUUGUUCGUCUGAUUAACACAUUCUCUUUUUGGCUCUUCAUUUGGUUCCGUGAAUUGGAGAACACUAUAGCAUGGGUCCAUUUUUGCUGAAGAAAAUUUUUUCUGUUAAAAGGAUUGUAGCUCCAUUGUAUCCAUUCAGUAACCAAUGUGGAAAACUGGUUGUUGUUUGCACUAAUGGAUGAAAUCGUCCCAAGUUAUUUUUUGAAUGAAGUUUACCUAUAUGUGAGUUAAAAUGUUCUAUACUAGCCUUGCUGCUCUGGACAACCAUAGUUUCAUUGGCAAUAAUAAAACUCGAAACAACUGCUUAGAACUCGAAACUAUUGCUUUAUGCAGCUAUGAGGAAUAUUCCCUUCAUGCAGGCAGUUUUUGAAGUAGGCUAAAGCUUAAGAUAUUAUCUUUCGGGAAACCUGCACUGCCCUUUCCGAAAGCUGACUUGAAGAAAAAAUAAGGAUAUAUGUGUCGCACGUGCUUUAAAAAGAUAUUUUGUCAACUACGACAACAGCAGAACUACAACGAGAACUGCUAAGAACAAGAUGAUUGUCAAUGCCAAUAUAUGCUUUGUCUAUGUAAACAGUACAAUGAUGGAUGUAUAUAAAUGUACGAUAUGAACAAUAUGCUUCAGCAAUGCAGUAUUUUCUUCACUUUAUAUUA